rnacentral:rRNA from 1 species
UGGGGAAUAUUGCACAAUGGGCGAAAGCCUGAUGCAGCGACGCCGCGUGAGGGAUGACGGCCGUCGGGUUGUAAACCUCGUUCAGCAGGGACGAAGCGCAAGUGACGGUACCUGCAGAAGAAGCACCGGCUAACUACGUGCCAGCAGCCGCGGUAAUACGUAGGGUGCAAGCGUUGUCCGGAAUUACUGGGCGUAAAGAGUUCGUAGGCGGUUUGUCGCGUCGUUUGUGAAAACCAGCAGCUCAACUGCUGGCUUGCAGGCGAUACGGGCAGACUUGAGUACUGCAGGGGAGACUGGAAUUCCUGGUGUAGCGGUGAAAUGCGCAGAUAUCAGGAGGAACACCGGUGGCGAAGGCGGGUCUCUGGGCAGUAACUGACGCUGAGGAACGAAAGCGUGGGUAGCGAACAGG